UCCCUGGUGGUUCAGUGGUUAAGACUCUGCGCUUCCAAUGCAGGGGUCUCAGGAUCAAUCUCUGGUUGGGGAA
rnacentral:tRNA from 1 species